UACGGAGGGUGCGAGCGUUGUCCGGAAUCACUGGGCGUAAAGGGCGCGUAGGCGGCGCAGGAAGUCAACGGUGAAAGUUCGGGGCUCAACCCUGAAUCGGCCGUCGAUACUCCUGGGCUCGAGCACUGUAGAGGCAGAUGGAAUUCCGGGUGUAGCGGUGGAAUGCGUAGAGAUCCGGAAGAACACCGGUGGCGAAGGCGGUCUGCUGGGCAGUUGCUGACACUGAGGCGCGAAAGCGUGGGGAGCGAACAGG
rnacentral:rRNA from 1 species